rnacentral:lncRNA from 1 species
CUCAUGUUCACUUUCUGGCAUCCUAAACACAACACAUCNAGACUUGUAUAAGCCCUCAAGAUUUAUGAGGAAAGAUUGGUCUUGACACCUUUCCAGAAACUUUUUUUGUUGGCUGCAGAAAUAGCCUUCAGGAACAAGAUGAAGAGCCAGUGGUCAGAUAAAAGAAAUCUGAGGCUAGGGCAGAAAUAGAAUUUGAGAAAAUGUCUCAGACUUUCCAUAUUAAUUCUCACAAAUAUAAGAGGAGUGAAAGGAGGAGUAUUCAGAUUUACAAGAUUCUGUUACUAUAACCAUAUAAUGAUACUAGUAUCCAUAACUUUAGUUUCCUAGUCUGCUGGAUCUCAAAGGUUGCCAGAAGGCCAGGAAGGUAGGGUCUUCUGGAUCUCAGAGGAAGAUGUUCCACAGGGCAGAGGCAAUUACCAAGAAGGUGUGUUGUCUCUUCAGAAUUCAGAUUCUUUAAUUACAAGCAUAUCUGUGAAGGAAUUUAUUCCUUUGCUGGAAAUAUUUGAAUUACAUGAAUAUAUAAUUUUAUAUUUUUAAAAAUCCCUUCUGACCCUAUGAAUAGUAUGUGUACUCCUUAAUCUCAGGUCUUUUUUCCCAUGUUUUAUCAACAGAUGAACAUAUUCAUGCCAUUGCACUGAAGAAACUCAUUAAACAGUUUAUGUCAUUAUAUUGCUGACAUAGUAACCAAUUUUAAAAAAUAUGAGAUUCAAAAAUUCAGCAGUCUAUCACAUGCUGUGGUCUUAGAACUACAAAUAUACUGCAAUACUGUAAAUUGUAGGAGCUUACAUUAAUUAUGUAUCCUAUCAAGUUAUGCUAGCUACAUAUCACAAAAAGCACCAUCAGGAGUCUCCCAGGUUCAGCCUACCCCCAACGGCCUCAGCUAUCCAAGCUCAAAACUGCUUACAGGAACUUCUUUCACAAUGAUGUACCUUCUAUACAGAUUCUUCUUCCAACAUACUUCCCUGUUUCAGAUCUGAAGAAAUGUCAGUCCAUCUAAAUAGGAGAGCUGUGCAAUCUCUGAAAAUGAUUUGAAAGAAAUGCUUUGGACAUUAUGUAAACACAGUUCCUUUCACUAAACUGGCUCAGGACUCUUGUCAUUGCUCACAAGUAAUAUGAAGCAAAUAUUCCAAAUCAUUUUCAAAGUGUGAACAUUCCCACUAAGGCCUAUUCUGUCCCAUUGUUGCAAUAUGAGGAAUACAUAAAUACACAACAGAACCACUGCAGCAAACAGGAUUUAUUACUAAAUGGAGUGUGCCAACAGAAUAACACUUCUGAUAUGUCAUUCACUGAACCCCUGAAUCUAUUAAACAUUUGCAUGUAAUUGAUGUCUCUGUAGUUUGUUUAUUCGGGUUCUCCU